UGUUUAUUGGAGACUUUUCUCUACGGUUUGGAGAUUGACUUCUUCAAGCUUCACUUGUUCAUUCUUUCUUUGAGGAAGUAUGUAUUGUGAAUACCAAAUACACCCAUGUGUAAAUGUUGUACCCUUGGUGACUGCACUUGUGGUUAUCACAUUGGGUGUGGUAAAGUCAUGUUCUGGCGUGACCUAAAGAAAAGGACAGAGUGAACACCAUGAUGGCUGCUUCUGUGCAGAGCAGUCCAUGAGUAUUUGGACAGUGGUACAAUUUCUGUUCCUUUGGCUCUGUACACCAGCAAAUUGGAUUUGAAAUGAAACAAUGAAUAUGAGGUUAAAGUGCAGAUGGCCAGCUUUAAUUUGAGGGUGUAUAUAUAUUACAUUAAAUUACAUUAAUGGCAUUUGGCAGACGCUCUUAUCCAGAGCAACGUACAACAGUGCAACCCCAUAACCCGGGAUAAGUGCGCUGAAAGACCCUAGAGGGAAGUACAAUUUCAACUGCUACCUGCACAACAAAGAUAAGGACCAGGGCUUAUUUGAUCAUCUUUUUUUUCUUUUAUUUUGUUUUUCUUUCUUUUUUUAAUUGUAAUACCGCAACACACAAAUGUAUGAACAAACCACUUACCUAGCCAAACACUGCUUACCUAGCCAAACUAAACAUCCUGAUACACAAGUAAAUAUCACAGAAAGACAACAAUUAAGGUUUACAGGGAGGUAGCGAGGGACAUGGAGAGGUGCAGCUUGAAUCUUCAGUUUGCGCUUGAAGAUGGAAAGAGAUUCUACUGUUCUGACCUCCACUGGGAGUUCAUUCCACCACCAUGGAGCCAGAACAAACAGUAGUCGUGAGCGGGAGGUGGAAGUUCAGAGAGGGGGAGGCGCCAAGUGGCCUGUGGAGGCCGAACAAAGAGGUCUGGCAGGGGUGUAGGGUCUGAUGAUUUUUUGGAGGUAAGCUGGGGCAGACCCCUUAACUGCUUGGAAGGCUAGCACCAAUGUUUUGAAUUUGAUGCGAGUGGAGGGAAGUAAGCAGGGGGAUGACAUGCAAGUGUUUGGGAAGGUUGAAGACCAGACAAGCUGCAGCAUUCUGGAUAAGUUGGAGGGGUCUGAUGGCGGACGCUGGGAGGCCAGCCAAGAGGGAGUUGCAGUAGUCCAGACGGAACAAAACCAUCGCUUGGACCAGGAGCUGGGUCAAGUAGGGGGUAACAUAAGACCAGCUGUGGCAGACAAAGGGGAAAAGCCCCCAGCAGCCAAUGAACCGACCUACGAAGAAGUGACCAAUGGCAGACCAAUGAGUGAUGACAGUGCGCUGGAGCGGAGCGUCUGUUUGUACUCAGU